rnacentral:lncRNA from 1 species
GGAGGGGGUUCUAGCCUAGGCCGAGCUUCAUCACCAUGGAUGCGGCUAGGGAAAUCAGACGAGUCUACCAUCAUAGGAGCAGCAGCACCACCACCACCAAAACUGGAAUGGCCGGAGCGAAUGGCCAUCAUAUGGGUCACCACCACCGAAUGAUCUUGCAAGGUGUAAAGUCUCCACAUUUCAGUAUAAACUAGUGGCGUCCAGAUAAUUCAUACAUCGGAUAAAGUGGCAAAAGAUAGCAAUGGUGUAAAUAGGCAUGGGACAUCCCAAAUAUACAUUGGAUAAAAUGCAAGGUGAUAAUAAGAUUAGAUCUGGUCACUUUAUUACAAAGUAGUAAGACUAAAUCUCCCAAAAUAAAAAUGGUUGUUCUGCCUAUAAAAUAUAUAAUGCAGCCCCAGUUAAAAAAGGUAGAAUAAAUGAUGCCACAAAUUGCAUCAUCGGCCAGCCUAACUGCGCUAAUGUAUCCAUUUCAGAAUGGCAAGCAAGCAAGUGUGUCGGCUAGCUACAUGACUAUAAACUUUAGUGUGGUCGAUGAUACCAGCAACCAUCAAGUCCUCAUACUACCGAACAGAAGGAUCACACACUUGCAGCUAGAAAUAAUCUGGUACGACAUCAUCUUUUAUGCUAUUCAGAUCUAUGCAGAAAUAUAUGAACUUUAUAUUAGUAAAUGAGAUCUAACCUUCUCGGUAACAAUGCUGUCAUUGACACCCACCUAGUUACAUUAGAGCAUCCUCAACUCCCAACCUCUCUUUAAGUUCAGUUUAUGUUCGUCCUCCCACCUAUCAAGUCAUGGGUUACAGUCAUCAUAUCAUCCUUCCUUCCAACAGGUUAUCAAGGAAAAGAGCAGCAUAUCAACAGAUAAUGCCCUCCAUUAAUACCUGAAUGACAGCGACACCACCGGCCAGUGCUAUCCUCU